GACGAACGCUGGCGGCGUGCUUAACACAUGCAAGUCGAACGGACAGACAGAGAGCUUGCUCUCUUGAAGUUAGUGGCGAACGGGUGAGUAACGCGUAAUCAACCUGCCCUUCAGAGGGGGAUAACAACGGGAAACCGUUGCUAAUACCGCGUACGAUUCAUGAACGGCAUCGUUUAUGAAUGAAAGGUGGCCUCUAUGUAUAAGCUAUCGCUGAAGGAGGGGAUUGCGUCUGAUUAGCUAGUUGGAGGGGUAACGGCCCACCAAGGCAAUGAUCAGGAGCCGAUCUGGGAGGAUGAACGGCCACAUUGGGACUGAGACACGGCCCAAACUCCUACGGGAGGCAGCAGUGGGGAAUCUUCCGCAAUGGACGAAAGUCUGACGGAGCAACGCCGCGUGAGUGAUGAAGGUCUUCGGAUUGUAAAGCUCUGUUAAUCGGGACGAAAGAGUUCUGCGUGAAUAAUGCAGAAAAGUGACGGUACCGGAAUAGAAAGCCACGGCUAACUACGUGCCAGCCGCCGCGGUAA
rnacentral:rRNA from 1 species